GGGGCCUGAGCAAAGCCAGGCAAGAUGUGGUUCCUGCUAUCAAGCUGACUGACAUCUAUCAGAAAGAACAGAUCACGACAUAGUAUCCUGCUAUGUUGACGAGGCUGGUCUCAAACUCCUGGACUCACGAGGCUCUCCUGCCUUGGCCUCCCAAAGUGCUGGGAUUACAGAAAUGAGCCAUUGUGCCUGGCCAAUGUUUUUUAAAUAUUUAGAAAAAAAUGAAUAGAGAGAAGUUCCCUGAGACCUCUCCAGAAGCUGAUGCUGCUUCCUGUACAGCCUGCAGAACCACGAGACCAUUAAAACUCUUUUCUUUAUAGAUUACCCAGCCUCAGGUAUGUCUUUAUAGCAAUAUGAGAAUGGCCUAACACAAGUAGGAAAGUAUUAUGGGAUGGAUUCUUCUCCCUUUAAAAUGCUUAUCUGGAAGUCCUAAUCUCCAGAACCUCAGAAUGUGACUGUAUUUGGAGAGAGGGUGUUU
rnacentral:lncRNA from 1 species